rnacentral:sRNA from 1 species
CUAUACCUAAGGUUGUUCUCUUACUUACACAUAGAUACACACACAGGAGGAGGAAUGAGAGAGAGAGAAAGACAAGACUAUGGCCACAUGUGGUGGAGUCAAACAUGGAAUGGAUUCCAUGAUAUUGGCAUCGGGUCUUGAUGUGGCAAAGCCUGGUCUGUUAGGAAGCUUCUCCAUAGUCUGCCUACAGUACCUGGUACAUGCACCAUAGGCCACUUUGGCUGAGGAAGACCUGAGGAUUAUGAAGUACUGACUGCAUUUUAUCAGCCAGGAAUAGGUAACUCCUAUAGGCUGCAUCCUAACUAAUACAAGGUAUGCUAGGUAACGAGAAACAGCUCCUGAUCCUCCAGGAUACAGACCUUUGGCUUAAUUUUUCCCAGCAGUCAAAUGACAACCACGUGACCUGGCCGUGACAUUCCUUGGUGUUACCUACUAUGACCUUUGGAUUCCCAGCUUUCAUUUCCCUACUGGGUUCAGUUAGGAGAGUAAGGUGACCAUAUUAUUAAAACCAUUGACGGAAGGAAAAUGUUCACAUCUCCUGAGCAGGGAUGGAGCUAAUUGUAACCAUGGGGUCUGUCUUGACUUGGGUGCUAAGGGAGGGGAACAGAGAGGGGACCCUGGGAGGUGUGGAAUGCAGGGGCAGCUGAAUCAUUGCCUCAUUGUGUCCCAGAUUCCACAUGGCCUCCUUAGCUUCCAGAAUGCCCGUGUGACCUCACUGGAUUCCAGGCUCUAUAUAGGAUCAGCACCAGUGUCUACUCCUGUAAAUAAUUGAAAGGAAUAUAAUAGGGGCAAUGGAGGAAUUGACAAGGAGUUAAACCAAGAUUUACAAGAAUGUACUUCUCAAGAAAAUAACCAAGUCAGUUUUGUACACAAUGAAUUCCGGGACCUUCAAGUGAGAAAUGCAUGAGACAUGAAGGGAAAUUGGCAACUCCAACAGAGAGCACUGGUCUACCUGGGGCUCCGUGAAUGAGUGGCAUAGAUUGAGUCAGGACCCACUGUCCCAUAGGAUACAUCAUAGAAGGUAGACGUGUGGCUAAAAGGUUAUAGGCUAUUUGUCCCCAGACAAAGCUUCUUCACAAAUGUGUUAGGACAAAGAGCAAACAAGAUUGUACUACAUUCCAUGAUUGUCGCCUGCCUGUUUGAAUGUGUUCACCGCCUUCUCAAUUACCCUAAGGAAUAAACGUGUUUAGAACUCAGGACUGGAAACCAUCUUCCUCGCCUCCAACCUGUGGUUUCAUAGAGAAAAGUUCUGACCAUCCUUUCCUUCAGUGAGUCUCUACUGAGUGAAAAACAUGUGUGAGAGUCACGCAGAGCCCACAGGGGCCAGGGGAAGCUCAGACUUACCAAACGAGUCCUCCAUAAACCAGAGCAGAACUCAUGGAAGAAUCUUUCCUGGGCACUCAGUUCCACACUGUAAAUAACAGGCGAUAGAGCAAGACAGCGGUACGGAGACUGCCAACACCUACGGCAGCUCAGCCUUGGCCCCGUGUCUGCGAUAGCACAAAGGAGGAAUUAUUAAUGACAUUUGAUCACCAGGGUAAAGCAAGCGUGUGGGCGAUUCUCUCCAAAGACAAGAAUACAAAAGACUGUGCCUGAGGCUCAGGCUUUUAUUAGUGGCAGAUGAACACUGGAACAGAGUAAAGGAGAUGCUGUCUGAUAUU